rnacentral:lncRNA from 1 species
CAUUUUGGGCCGAAAGCAACGUAAAGCUGCAAGCAGCGCUCACCCACCCUCAGAGCUGAAGCAUAUCUAUUGUCAAAAUAACGGAUAGAGAAGUGCAGAAUUAGAAGCUUUACAAUGUAUCAGCGAUACCUGCGCACACAGCCCUCGGAUUUCCCCCCAGCUUUAUUGAGAUAUACUUGACAGGUAAGAGUUGUGUAUCUGAGGUGCUCAACGUGAUGAUUUCAUAUAUGAAUACAUGGUGAAAUGAUUACCAGGACCAAGCUAAUUAAUAUAUCCAUUACCUCACAGAGCUCCCUUCUUCAGCUGUGGCCAGAUCUACUCUCUUAGCAAAUUUCAAGACUACAAGACAGUGUUAUUAACCAGAAUCCCCACACCUCACAUUGGACCCCCAGAACCUGUUCAUCCUCCAUAACCGCAACUUUGUACCCCUUGACCAAUACCUCCCCAUUUCCUCCAAGCCCCAACCUCUGAUAGCCACCAUUCUAAUCUCUGCUUUUAUGAGUUCAGCUCUUUCAGAGACCUCGCCUUCUUUUAAAGCACGGAGAGGAUUCCAUUGUAUGGAUAUACCGGAGAGGAUUCCAUUGUAUGGAUAUACCGUAGUUUCUUCAACCACUCCCUAUGCAGAUAUAGGUUACUUCUGUUGUUUUUUCCCUCUUUUUUACAAAUAAUGCUUCAGUGGAUAAUAAGGAUGGUUUACCAAUAUGAAAGAAAACAAUCUAGGGAUAAAUGGGCCAGAGCAAAUUUGGGAAAUUUGGUGCAAAACAAAACCCUACGAGUGAGCCCAGCAUGGGCAUCAGAGAGAGGGGACCCUCCCAGCUUAGCCCCUCGCUGUGUCGGAUCUGAGGGACCCCCAGCACCAAUAGAAC